UUGAAAUCUAGACUCCAUUUAGUUUCAAUUGUAUUUGUGAAUGGAAGCAGAACAAUACGAGAUCUGUACAAAACACUUUUGUUAAUAUUAGUCAUAGGUGGUUCGGUGUCACCUUUCUAUCUGUAAUCUUUAAAUCUGUGACGCGUAAACGACUUGCUUUAUAUGGAUGCUUGAUCAACUUCCAAAUUAAAUUGCUAUUUUAUAAUAGUGUACGUGUAUGCACUAUAAAUGGCAUUCGUAAAGUUUGCAGUAGCAGCUAUCAUGGCUGCGUUGGCUUACGAUCGGUUUUUACCUAAACAUAAAAGUGCUGGAAGUAUUGACGUGCGAUUGGAUGGUGAAUACGAUUAUAUUGUGGUUGGAGGAGGCUCCGCAGGUUAAGCGGUCGCCGCAAGAUUGUCCGAGGACCCUACCAACAAGGUUCUACUUAUCGAAGCAGGUGGGGACUAUGAUGAGAGCGAGUUGCCGCAUAUUGGAUUCAGCUCUGGUUCUCUCAGUAUGACUGGGUUUAACAGUUCCCCAAAAGCACGCCGCUAAGUCUAUGAAUGAUAACAAGAUUUUCUGGUCACGGGGCAAAGUGCUUGGAGGUACAGGGAUCUUGAAUGGCAUGAUGUAAUCACGGGGAAGCCGCUUUGAUUAUGAGGAAUGGAAGCAAACGGGUUGCGACGGUUGGGGUUACAGAGAUGUACUGCCCUACUUCCUAAAAUCGGAGGACAACCAGAUUACACAAUUGGAAGGCUCGCCUUUUCAUAAUACCGGGGGCCUUCUAGCCGUAAACUUCGGCCCUGAAACUGAGAUGACAGCAGUUUAUAAUCAAAGCACUGAAAGUGCUGAGGGACGGUGCCUCUGGUGUAUGUGCAGAAAAAUAUACAGGGAGAGCUGCCUGGUUUCAAAAUCGUGUCGUUGUUAUCAACUAUUGACAGUUUGGUUAUUUCAAGAGCCAACUUUAGUCAUGCAUGAAUAUUUUUUAUGAAUGCAUGUUAAGCAAGCGAUCACUUCGUACGAAGUUGCAUACGGAGAUUUCUGCGACCGUUUUAUUAACGCUUUCGUACGUAAUUACUCUUCAAAAUGGGGAAGGAUCGGACGAAAAUGUAAACAAACCGUAGAUGCAAUCUUUUGAAAGAAAAGCUCAGUCAUCUGGGAUGCAGUGUUGCAGCACUGAAAAGCAUGGGGUGCCCAUCAAAGAGUGUUUCUCUUUGCCUGCAAUCAGGAUACAUCAACUGACCUUUGAACUGUGUUUACCAACUUGGGAUUCAAACACAUGCCCUCUUGGGUAGGAGAAAGUCAGACAAACACCUGUGGCUAUAUCACUAUACUUCUUCAAGUCUUGCUCUAUGAGUGAUCAUGAUGUGAAAUAAAACAAAAUGCAGUCAUCUUUUUGUUAUAUUAAAUAAGUUAUGAACAAAUAAAAUAUU